AGAGUUUGAUCCUGGCUCAGGAUGAACGCUGGCGGCGUGCCUAACACAUGCAAGUCGAACGGAGUUCUUAAGGAAUGCGACUUCGGUCAAAUGACUUUUGAACUUAGUGGCGGACGGGUGAGUAACGCGUGAGCAACCUGCCUUUCAGAGGGGGAUAACAUUUGGAAACAGAUGCUAAUACCGCAUAAGAUUACAGUACCGCAUGAUACAGUGAUCAAAGGAGCAAUCCGCUGAAAGAUGGGCUCGCGUCCGAUUAGAUAGUUGGUGAGGUAACGGCUCACCAAGUCGACGAUCGGUAGCCGGACUGAGAGGUUGAACGGCCACAUUGGGACUGAGACACGGCCCAGACUCCUACGGGAGGCAGCAGUGGGGAAUAUUGCACAAUGGGCGAAAGCCUGAUGCAGCAACGCCGCGUGAGGGAAGACGGUUUUCGGAUUGUAAACCUCUGUUUUCGGUGACGAACAAAUGACGGUAACCGAGUAGGAAGCCACGGCUAACUACGUGCCAGCAGCCGCGGUAAUACGUAGGUGGCAAGCGUUAUCCGGAAUUACUGGGUGUAAAGGGAGCGCAGGCGGGAUAGCAAGUCAGCUGUGAAAACUAUGGGCUCAACCCAUAAACUGCAGUUGAAACUGUUAUUCUUGAGUGGAGUAGAGGCAAGCGGAAUUCCGAGUGUAGCGGUGAAAUGCGUAGAUAUUCGGAGGAACACCAGUGGCGAAGGCGGCUUGCUGGGCUCUAACUGACGCUGAGGCUCGAAAGUGUGGGGAGCAAACAGGAUUAGAUACCCUGGUAGUCCACACUGUAAACGAUGAUUGCUAGGUGUGGGGGGUCUGACCCCCUCCGUGCCGGAGUUAACGCAAUAAGCAAUCCACCUGGGGAGUA
rnacentral:rRNA from 1 species